GUGCUGCUUCAGCAGCACAAAUUCUAAAAUUAGAACAAUACAAAGAAGAUUAGCACAGCCCCUGCGUAAGGCUGACACCCAAAUUCGUGAAGCAUUCCAUAUUCUU
ensembl:snRNA U6 U6 spliceosomal RNA